rnacentral:rRNA from 1 species
GACGAACGCUGGCGGUAUGCUUAACACAUGCAAGUCGAACGAGAAGUCUUUUAUUGAACCUUCGGGGGAUAUAAGAGACAGACAGUGGCGAACGGGUGAGUAACGCGUGGGCAACCUACCUAUCGGAGCGGGAUAGCCUCGAGAAAUCGGGAGUAAAACCGCAUAACACGGAUAUAUCGCAUGAUGAAUCCGUCAAAACUCCGGUGCCGAUAGAUGGGCCCGCGUCUGAUUAGCUAGUUGGUAAGGUAAGGGCUUACCAAGGCAACGAUCAGUAGCCGGUCUGAGAGGGCGAACGGCCACACUGGAACUGAGACACGGUCCAGACUCCUACGGGAGGCAGCAGUGGGGAAUAUUGCGCAAUGGGGGCAACCCUGACGCAGCAAUACCGCGUGAGUGAAGAAGGUUUUCGGAUCGUAAAGCUCUGUUAUUGGGGAAGAAGCAGUGACGGUACCCAAUGAGGAAGUCCCGGCUAACUACGUGCCAGCAGCCGCGGUAAUACGUAGGGGACGAGCGUUGUCCGGAAUCACUGGGCGUAAAGGGCGCGUAGGCGGUUUUAUAAGUCAGAUGUGAAAGGUACCGGCUCAACCGGUGACGUGCAUUUGAAACUGUAAGACUUGAGUACUGAAGAGGCAAGCGGAAUUCCUAGUGUAGCGGUGAAAUGCGUAGAUAUUAGGAAGAACACCGGUGGCGAAGGCGGCUUGCUGGGCAGAUACUGACGCUGGGGUGCGAAAGCGUGGGGAGCGAACAGG